UUAAGCGACUAAGCGUACACGGUGGAUGCCUAGGCAAUCAGAGGCGAUGAAGGACGUGCUAAUCUGCGAAAAGCGUCGGUAAGGUGAUAUGAACCGUUAUAACCGACGAUGUCCGAAUGGGGAAACCCAGUGCAAUUCGUUGCACUAUCGUUUGAUGAAUCCAUAGUCAAACGAGGCGAACCGGGGGAACUGAAACAUCUCAGUACCCCGAGGAAAAGAAAUCAACCGAGAUUCCCCUAGUAGCGGCGAGCGAACGGGGAGCAGCCCAGAGUCUUAAUCAGCAUCAGCAUCAGGAGAACGGUCUGGAAAGGCCGGCAAUAAAGGGUGAUAGCCCCGUAUCCGAAGGUGUUGGUGUUGUGAACUCGAUGAGUAGGGCGGGACACGUGUUAUCCUGUCUGAAUAUGGGGGGACCAUCCUCCAAGGCUAAAUACUCCUGAUUGACCGAUAGUGAACCAGUACCGUGAGGGAAAGGCGAAAAGAACCCCGGCGAGGGGAGUGAAAUAGAACCUGAAACCGUGUACGUACAAGCAGUGGGAGCCUUGAUUUAUCAGGGUGACUGCGUACCUUUUGUAUAAUGGGUCAGCGACUUAUAUUCUGUAGCAAGGUUAACCGAAUAGGGGAGCCGUAGGGAAACCGAGUCUUAACUGGGCGAAUGAGUUGCAGGGUAUAGACCCGAAACCCGGUGAUCUAGCCAUGGGCAGGUUGAAGGUUGGGUAACACUAACUGGAGGACCGAACCGACUAAUGUUGAAAAAUUAGCGGAUGACUUGUGGCUGGGGGUGAAAGGCCAAUCAAACCGGGAGAUAGCUGGUUCUCCCCGAAAGCUAUUUAGGUAGCGCCUCGUGAACUCAUCUUCGGGGGUAGAGCACUGUUUCGGCUAGGGGGUCAUCCCGACUUACCAACCCGAUGCAAACUACGAAUACCGAAGAAUGUUAUCACGGGAGACACACGGCGGGUGCUAACGUUCGUCGUGAAGAGGGAAACAACCCAGACCGCCAGCUAAGGUCCCAAAGUCAUGGUUAAGUGGGAAACGAAGUGGGAAGGCUCAGACAGCCAGGAUGUUGGCUUAGAAGCAGCCAUCAUUUAAAGAAAGCGUAAUAGCUCACUGGUCGAGUCGGCCUGCGCGGAAGAUGUAACGGGGCUAAACCAUGCACCGAAGCUGCGGCAGCGACAUGUAAAUGUUGUUGGGUAGGGGAGCGUUCUGUAAGCCUGUGAAGGUGUGCUGCGAGGCAUGCUGGAGGUAUCAGAAGUGCGAAUGCUGACAUAAGUAACGAUAAUGCGGGUGAAAAACCCGCACGCCGGAAGACCAAGGGUUCCUGUCCAACGUUAAUCGGGGCAGGGUGAGUCGACCCCUAAGGCGAGGCAGAAAUGCGUAGUCGAUGGGAAACAGGUUAAUAUUCCUGUACUGGUGAUAAUUGCGAUGGGGGGACGGAGAAGGCUAGGCUGGCCGGGCGACGGUUGUCCCGGUUUAAGGAUGUAGGUGGGUGAAUUAGGCAAAUCCGGUUCGCUAUACACUGAGGUCUGAUGACGAGUCACUACGGUGGCGAAGUAGCUCAUGCCCCGCUUCCAGGAAAAGCCUCUAAGCUCUAGAUUAUCAUUAAUCGUACCCCAAACCGACACAGGUGGUCAGGUAGAGAAUACUCAGGCGCUUGAGAGAACUCGGGUGAAGGAACUAGGCAAAAUGGUGCCGUAACUUCGGGAGAAGGCACGCUGGCAUUAGGUGAAGUGGUUUACCCAUGGAGCCGAAGCCAGUCGCAGAUACCAGCUGGCUGCAACUGUUUAUUAAAAACACAGCACUGUGCAAACACGAAAGUGGACGUAUACGGUGUGACGCCUGCCCGGUGCUGGAAGGUUAAUUGAUGGGGUUAUCCGUAAGGAGAAGCUCUUGAUCGAAGCCCCAGUAAACGGCGGCCGUAACUAUAACGGUCCUAAGGUAGCGAAAUUCCUUGUCGGGUAAGUUCCGACCUGCACGAAUGGCGUAAUGAUGGCCAGGCUGUCUCCACCCGAGACUCAGUGAAAUUGAACUCGCUGUGAAGAUGCAGUGUACCCGCGGCAAGACGGAAAGACCCCGUGAACCUUUACUAUAGCUUGACACUGAACAUUGAGCCUUGAUGUGUAGGAUAGGUGGGAGGCUUUGAAGUGUGGACGCCAGUCUGCAUGGAGCCAACCUUGAAAUACCACCCUUUAAUGUUUGAUGUUCUAACGUUGCCCCAUAAUCUGGGGUGCGGACAGUGUCUGGUGGGUAGUUUGACUGGGGCGGUCUCCUCCCAAAGCGUAACGGAGGAGCACGAAGGUUGGCUAAGCAUGGUCGGACAUCAUGCGGUUAGUGCAAAGGCAUAAGCCAGCUUGACUGCGAGAGUGACGGCUCGAGCAGGUACGAAAGUAGGUCUUAGUGAUCCGGUGGUUCUGAAUGGAAGGGCCAUCGCUCAACGGAUAAAAGGUACUCCGGGGAUAACAGGCUGAUACCGCCCAAGAGUUCAUAUCGACGGCGGUGUUUGGCACCUCGAUGUCGGCUCAUCACAUCCUGGGGCUGAAGUAGGUCCCAAGGGUAUGGCUGUUCGCCAUUUAAAGUGGUACGCGAGCUGGGUUUAGAACGUCGUGAGACAGUUCGGUCCCUAUCUGCCGUGGGCGUUGGAAGAUUGAAAGGGGCUGCUCCUAGUACGAGAGGACCGGAGUGGACGCACCGCUGGUGUUCGGGUUGUCAUGCCAAUGGCACUGCCCGGUAGCUAAGUGCGGAAGAGAUAACCGCUGAAAGCAUCUAAGCGGGAAACUUGCCUUGAGAUGAGUCUUCCCUGACUCUUUAAGGGUCCUAAAGGAACGUUUAAGACGAAGACGUUGAUAGGCUGGGUGUGUAAGCGUAGCGAUACGUUGAGCUAACCAGUACUAAUGAACCGUGAGGCUUAACCUG
rnacentral:rRNA from 1 species